GACGAACGCUGGCGGCGUGCUUAACACAUGCAAGUCGAACGGAAAGGCCCUGCUUUUGUGGGGUGCUCGAGUGGCGAACGGGUGAGUAACACGUGAGUAACCUGCCCUUGACUUUGGGAUAACUUCAGGAAACUGGGGCUAAUACCGGAUAGGAGCUCCUGCUGCAUGGUGGGGGUUGGAAAGUUUCGGCGGUUGGGGAUGGACUCGCGGCUUAUCAGCUUGUUGGUGGGGUAGUGGCUUACCAAGGCUUUGACGGGUAGCCGGCCUGAGAGGGUGACCGGCCACAUUGGGACUGAGAUACGGCCCAGACCCCUACGGGAGGCAGCAGUGGAGAAUAUUGCACAAUGGGCGGAAGCCUGAUGCAGCAACGCCGCGUGCGGGAUGACGGCCUUCGGGUUGUAAACCGCUUUCGCCUGUGACGAAGCGUGAGUGACGGUAAUGGGUAAAGAAGCACCGGCUAACUACGUG
rnacentral:rRNA from 1 species